rnacentral:rRNA from 1 species
UGUAAAGUUCAAGCUCCGAUUAUGAGGGCGAACCGCGAAUGGCUCAUUAAAUCAGUCAUAAUCUACUUGAUUGUUUAAAGUUUAUAUGGAUAACUGUGGUAAUUCUAGAGCUAAUACAUGCACAAAGAGGGCGACUCUGCUUGUUUGGAGAAGCUCUGCGUUUAUUAGACUAAGACCAAUGGGUACGCUUGCGUGCUCCUAUUGUCAAGGUGACUCUGAGUAAAAAAUGGGUGAAAGCCCAUGAUGCAGACCUGACAUACCAAAGGGCCCGGAUUCUCGAAUCUUGGGUUCGUCAGGCAAAUCAAUCGAGUGUCUGCUCUAUCAACUGUGGAUGGUAGGGUAAUUGCCUACCAUGGUGGUGACGGGUAACGGGGAGUUAGGGCUCGACUCCGGAGAACAAGCCUGAGAAACGGCUAGUAGGACUAAGGUCUGCAGCAGGCGCGAAACUUACACAAUGCUAGAUUACCUUUUUAGCGAUGUAGUGAAGAAAAAUAACGAUGUACUUCCAUUUAAACAUGGUAGUACAAUUGGAAUGAGACGACUAUAAACCAGUUAGUCGAGUAACAAAUGGAGGGCAAGUCUGGUGCCAGCAGCCGCGGUAAUUCCAGCUCCAUUAGCAUACAUUAAAGUUGUUGCGGUUAAAAAGCUCGUAGUUGAAUUUUGGGCGCGUUCCAUUGGGCUGGGGCCGUUAAGGUCGCUAGAUACCCGAAAGGGUCUAGUUCGGCUGGUCUCCAUUGUCCGUUGGGAACGCGCUGUUUCGUCACUUAAUCGAGUGCGAAGCGUGCUGGUACAGGUUGCAUACUUCGGUAUGCUCUGUUUCAGCGUGUUUACCUUGAGAAAAUUAGAGUGCUCACAGCAGGCAGUUGGGGUGUAAAAGCUCCUUUAUGCUUGAAUAAUGUUGCAUGGAAUAAUAGAAUACGGCCUCGGUUCUAUUCUGUUGGUCUUAUAGAACAACAAACAAGUUGAUUGGGGCGACCAAAAGUUGCUAGUUGUGCGUGUUUGGUACACUUCUUGAAGUAAGCGUAUCUCUCUACUACCUGUUGCCUGGGGCCUUAAAAUCUCAGUGCCUAGUAGUGAGCUGAUAUUGCCCUUCUUAGGUUGCCAUCCAUUUAAAGCGCCUACUAGUUAGCUAGCUCUUAAAUCAACUGAGGCAAUGGUUAAAAGAAAUAGUCGCGGCGGCAUCAGUACUGCAUCGUGAGAGGUGAAAUUCUUAGACCGAUGCAAGACUAACUGAAGCGAAAGCGUUUGCCGAGGAUAUUUUCAUUAAUCAAGAACGAAAGUUAGAGGUUCGAAGGCGAUCAGAUACCGCCCUAGUUCUAACCAUAAACGUUGCCAACUAGCAAUUGGGUUGCGAUUCCUUUAAUCAAAGUCUCUUAAAACAGCUUUGAUCAUUAGCGAUCCACCCAGCGGCUCUCGUAGGGAAACCAAAGUGUUUGGGUUCCGGGGGAAGUAUGAUUGCAAAGUUGAAACUUAAAGGAAUUGACGGAAGGGCACCACCAGGAGUGGAGCCUGCGGCUUAAUUUGACUCAACACGGGGAAACUUACUAGAUUAGAACUCUGGAAUGAUUGACAGAUUGAUAGCUCUUUCUUGAUUCAGAGGAUGGUGGUGCAUGGCCGUUCUUGAUUCGUAUUCCGAAACGUCUGCUUAAUUGCGAUAACGAGUGAGACCUCAGCCAGCUAACUAGUCGCCUGGUGCGCUGUGGAACGCUAAAGUUCCGGUUAGGUUCAAUGUUUGCGGGUAGCUAUGCGGGACUUGUCUCGUAUGGUCCGUAGCGCCUAGCCGGGAUGUUCUCUGCUCGCCGGCGGACUUCUUAGAGGGAUAAACGGUGUUUUAGCCGUAAGAAACGAG